AAGAGCCAUUCAUUUUCAAUGUAAAAUAGAGGGGAUUUUUUUUUAUCUUUUCUUCUUUUGAUUGUUGUUUUGUUUUUAGAAAAGAGAGGAAAAUAUUGUUAGAUCCGAAUAUUGAAAAUCAACGAAGCAAAACAACAAAAGAUAAAAAGGUUGAUUUUAAUCUCCUUUCUCCUAUUCAUGUAGUUCAUUCCUUUAAUUUAUCUCAUUUUUUUCGUUAUAAACCAUUUUCAAAUAAAGGCAUAAAAGAAAGAACUCAUCUGGAUCGUCGUGGUCUUGACCCUCUUCGACAGUGGAGGCCCCGGUGGUUUCAAGGAUCCACGACGACGGCGGCAAAGGGGGGUUUUUGAAACCCUAAGAAAAAAAAAGAAAAGCGAUGGGGGUUCUCUGUUUCUUAAAACAAAAAUGAAGCAAAAGAUAAAAAUAAAAAGUAAAAAGGUAACUUAAGUAUGCAUCGGGCGGGAUAUUUACGACUGCGGUCUCUCCGCAUUUUUGGCCUUUUUAAUCUAAUCCUUCUUGUUUUCUUUUUUUUUUUAAUUUGAUCGUGUAAUUUUUUUUUCCGAAUUUCCCUUUUAGAUUUUAUUUAUAUUUUGAUUUGGUACUUUUAUUGCUUUUGCUAUUUUAAUUUUAAGUUAGCAAAUUUAAUAUAUCUUAUUUAGCUUUAAGAUAGUUAGUUUAACGUAUUAUUAGCAUUGUUGAUAUAUUUGAAUUUAUAUUCAUCUUAUUUUUCUAAUAUCAUCAUCAUUACAUUAUGACUAUUAUUAUCAUCUUGUUAUUAAAUUAAUUAAUCUCAUAUUGUUAUUAUUAUAUCUUUCCCUCUUAUGAUUAUUUGCUUAUUAUCUUAUUGCUAAUUAACUUGACUUAUUAACUUAUUAUUAUUAUUAUCACCAUCGCUGUUACUUAACUAACUAUUGUAUCUUAAGGUAUUAUUAAUAUUACUCUUAUUUCCAUUAUUAUUACCACUAUUCUUUAUUGUCAUAGUUAUUAUUUGUAUAGCUAUCAUUUUUAUUACCAAUAUCACUAUUUUUAUAUUUAUUUAAGUUAUUUUUACUUUCAUAACUACUACUACGUACUAUUAUUAUGUUUUUUUUACAUUUAUGUAUUUCUUUUUAUAUAUAAUCCAUUGUUCCCAUUUUGUCAUUUUGUUAUUUAUUCGUUGAUACAGUUAUAUAAUUUCAAACUUUGAUCUCUUUAUUAUUUGUAUCAUUAUUUUGUUUCACACAAUACUUACUCAUAUUUGUAUUAUUAUUGAUAUUUUAUCAAUUUUAAAUUACAAAUUUGUGUGCAUAUUUUACAUAAUACUUAUUUGUAUUAUUUUUUAUUGUCAUUGUUAUUAUUAUUAUUUAAAAAAAUAAAAAAAAUAAAAAAUAAUUUCAUUUGAUGUUUCUUUAUUCAUAUGUUUAUUUGCUUAUCAUAAUUUAAAAAUUAAGUUUUCACUAGAAUUCUCUUUGUUAUUUCAUGUAUCUUUGUAUUUAUUUUUAUUAUGUUUUAUUCUCAUCAUACUAUAUAUCUAUUCGUUUAUUCAUAUAUGUCUCUAUAUACCUGCAAGUUUGUGCUAUUCAUUAAUAUUAUUGUAUUUAUAUCAUCUUCGUUAUUAUUUUAUUAUGCACAUCGGUACUACAAUUUGUUUUCUCAUUUUACCAUAAAAUCAUAAUCAUAUUAAUCCUUUUUUACUCGACCCAUGAAAUUGUUCUUUCUAAAGUAAAGCAAUAUUCCGUAUUUGGAAAUUCGAGAAAUCGUGCCCUAACUUACUGGGUUUCGAUUUUAUCUCGUUUCACCUAAAUAACGACAUAUUCUUUUAAAUCAUAAUACAAGUUUUAAAUAAAAUGCCUACUCUUUGAGAUUUGAUGUGUUGUGUCCUAACUCACUGGAUAUGACAUCUUAUUACCUCGAGAUAAGACUUUUACAAAUAAGGUAAUAUUUCGUGUGUGGAAAGUUCGAGGAAAACGUGUCCUAUGUGUUAGGUUUCGAUUAGUCGUUUGACCGAAUAACCGGAUAUCCUUUUUCUUUCAAUGCAUGAGUUUUUGAAAAUCAUGAGAUAAUUUUGGCAUCGAAGGGUUGAAAUAUCGUGUCCUACGUGCUGGAUGUGAUAUUUUAUUUCCUUGAAACAAUAGAAAAUCUUAAUGUCUACUUCAAGUUAGCUAAGCAUUCAUAAAAAGGGAUCGUACUUCAAAAUUUAUUUUAAAUUUUUUUAAUUUUCGAUAUUAAGACAUUAAUUAAUCAAUUUGGUACCAAUUUUGGGCGUUACGAGGGUGCUAAUCCUUCCUCGUACGUAACCGACUCCCGAACCCAUUUUCUCAAAUUUCGUAGACCAAAAUGUCGCUUUAAUAAACUAAAAUGUCUUAUUAAAACAAGGGUAAUUCGAUCACACCCAAUAAAGAUCGGUGGCGACUCCUUUUUUAAUUUUUGCUUUCAAACAAAGUCGAUAUCCCUUUUUUUCAAAAAAUAGUUUCGACAGUUUGGCGACUCCACUGGGGAUUUCGAGAGUCGAGCCUUGAAUUGAUUAUUUUUUGUCUUUUGUCAAAAAUUGAAAAUCGGUUUCUAAUUUACUAUAUUGCAUGUUGUUUGUUAUUUUCGUGGCUUUCCUCAUAAUAUGCUUGCUUUAAGUGGUUUAAUUCUUUGAUGUAUCUUUGCAUAUCGCAUCGCAUUAUUGGUCAAUUUCACCUUUUAAGUGGGAGUGAGAAGCUAUGCCUUCGUGAGGUUUUCACCUCCGCAUGGGCUAGUAGAUUGCUUCCGGGAUACAUCCGUACCUAUGAUUUCGUGAGAUUUUCAUCUCCGCAUGGUCAUAGGGAAAUGUAUUCCCUUGAACCGAACUCGAUCUACAUGUGCCUAUAAUGGGUGAAGAUCGAGGAAUCUGUUGGUUCAGGUACCUUUACUUUAGAACCGAACUACAUGUAAUGAGCCCUAAGAGCCUACCCUAGGUAGAACCACACCGAACCCUAGUGGUCACCCGAUUAGGUGCUUAUUUACUCCUUAUUUGUUUUGAAUUCUAUUCUGUGUAUAUAAUACUGACUUGUUGCGUUUUGAUUGUUUUCGCAUGGCAUCUCAUCAUAAAAGGGUGUUGAUUUACAUUCGGUUACUAAAUAGAAGAGUUUAGCAUGGAAAAAGGAUUUCUUGAUAGAAUGGAGGAUAAUGCGGCCGUCCGAGUGUGGUCCAAGAGAAUGCAACAAGAGAAAGGAGAUAGUUCGACCGAGGGAUAUGAAUCGGAGUUAUGGGAUUUCACUCGCAUCAGUGUGACUCAGAACGACCUGCAAGAGUUAAGGGAUAUAUGGAAUAGUUGGAAUGGCGAAGUCAAGCAACUCUUUUACUGUAACUACGGUGAUCUACCCUAUUUGCUCGAUGUAAAGGUGGACAAGUGCUCAUUCCGGGCCCUCGCGCAGUUUUGGAACCCUGCUUACAGUUGCUUUACUUUCGGAGGAGUUGAUUUAGUACCUACUGUGGAGGAAUACAUGGCGUUACUUAAUUGUUCGAAGAUUCAGGCCGAUAGGGCCUAUUCAAGAACUGUCAACGUCCCUCCAUUUUUAAAAAACUUGAUGAAUAUCACGGGGAUGAGUGAGCAAUAGGUUGCAGCCCACAUCAAGCAAAAGGGAGAUAGUAAGUGUAUUCCCUGGAGGAAUUUGAAGGAUUUGAUCCUCGCACACCCGAAUUCGAAGAAAAGGGUUGAUGUUUUUGCCUUAAGCCUCUACGGCUUGAUCGUCUUUCCUAAGGCACUCGGGCACAUAGAUGAAGCCGUCCCAGAUUUAUUAGAUCGACUUGAUAAAGGUACCACACCUACCCCGGCAAUCCUAGCAGAAACUUUUCGAUCCUUGAAUGCAUCCUGGAGAGCGGGUGAGGGAAGAUUUAUUGGUUGUGCACAGCUUCUUUUGGCUUGGUUCCACGGUCAUUUUUGAAAGGUGGAGAAAGUCUCCUAUCGGGUAUUCUCUAAGGAUUAUUCCCCAUUAAGAGAAUUAGUGGCCACAUCGAGGUGAGACGACAUCUCAGAAGAGAAGUGGAUAAUUAUUCUCCAAAAUUUGCGGGCUGAAGACGUUGAGUGGAGGGCUCCGUGGUUGAUUCCUGACGAGAUCUUAUAUAGGUGCGGUGAUUUUGACUGGGUCCCUCUAGCCGGAAUAUGGGGAGCCAUUGGAUACGCUCCAUUGAUGGUGUUAAGGCAGUAUCGGUUGAGGCAGUUCAUACCGGUGACACAAGGGUUAUCUCAAUGUAAGUUCUCUUAUAAGGAUGACAGUUAUAAGAAAAAAGUUUAUGAGAUAUCAGAUGCUUGGAACCAAACUCGAAGAAUGAAAGGAUUCACCACAGGCCCGAUGACGACCCCCGAGUAUGAAUGGUGGUGGGGUAGGAGAGUUAACAACAACAUCCCUAGGCCGAAUCAAGGGAACACUCAACCGAUAGAGGAGCAUUUACGGGUCAUCCCUUCCAAAUUAGAGAUCAUUAAACAAGACUUUGAGAAAAGGAACUCGGAGUUGGGGAAGAAGAUAGAACAGCUAGAGGAAGAGAAAAUGAAGUUAGGAUUAGACGUCGAUAUCCACAAGCUAGAGGCUGAGAGGUUAAGAAAAGGAAAGAGCAAGCCGAGGAGGAUUUGGAUAGUCUGAAAAUCGAUUACAAGAAGUUACGUAUGUCGAUAAGAACCGCUGAUUUAGGUAAAACGUCGGAGCAAUGGCGUCAAGAGAUCAAAGAGGAAAAGACUAGAGUCGACCAUUGAGAGAAAAGGUUUCAAGAUGCCCGAGCACGGGAGGACACUCUGAAAAAGAGUCUGAUAGAAAGCCAAAAUGAAAAGGAAAAGUUACGAGCUUGGGUGGUUGAAUUGGAAAGAUCACUUCAUCAACAUCGUAGCCUUAAUUCGGUAAUUGAGCUGAAGGCUAGUCUGAGCAGGAUCGAAGAGUUGAAAGGGAAAGUAGAAAAACUCGAGACUGCAAUAUGAGAUAGUAAAAUUCGAGUGGAACUUCUUGAGGCAAACAAUGACCAUUGCUGGGAACAACUUCACCAUUCUCAGAACCAGAUUAGAGAUAGAGACUAUGUCAUGGGCGAAGCUAUGGCUCAGGUUCGGGAGGUAGCCGACCACCUGCAAACUUUGGCAGUCCAAGCAGAUAUAUUGAGCUUAAAGUAUGAGUCGGAAUCAGAGCGAGGCCAAAACUUAGCUUGGCUUCUUAGGAAAAUUAAGGCUUUGGGCAUUAGGGCAAAGUCGUAUAUGUAAUCAUCCGUUCUACGUAAAUAAAUUUUUCUUCUAGUGAAGUUCUUCUAAUGAAAUUGAAUUGGAAUCAACGCCUCUUUUUGCAUUCAUUCAUUUGCAUUACAUUUCAUCAUGUGCAUUAAAUUUCACAAAAAGACCCUAAUUAAACAAAAUUAUUUCAAUUAAUUUGGAAACCAACGAGAAUCAACCAACCGAACACAACUACUAUACCCGCCGUAAAACCAAAGCAAUGGAUCAGAGAUUAGAAAGAAUAGAACAAAUGCAAAGGGAAAUGCAAGAGCAAUUACAAGUACAUAUGCAAGAGCAACUGGCUAAGAUACAGCAAGAUAUGAAGGAAAAAAUGGAAGAAUCCCAAAAUAAUCUGAUAGGCCAGUUGGCGCAGUUACUGGCUAGAGAACGCGAGAAGGGGAAGAGCACCAUAGGGACUGACAAUGAAGACCCUAUUUACCCUCCAGACUUUGCUCCAGUAAAUACUCAACCACAACCAGAGGUACACCCGCGAACGGUACCUGUCACUAUCAGGCCCCAGCAAUACCAGGCCAAUGCCUCGACACCAUUGAAUAUUCCCAUAGGUUCGAGUUCUAAGCCCAGAGAUAAUCCAGCUAAUCCAUUUGUCCCGGACCUUGACGAUGUGGCAGAAAUAGAGAAAGAAAAAGUAGACUUGGCAAAACAACUUGAUGAUCGUUGUAAAUGGCUUGAAGAAAAAUUCAAAGCAAUGGAGACUGUUGAUUACCGUGGCGGGAUCGACGCUAAGGACUUAAGCUUGGUCCCAGACUUGGUACUCCCACCAAAAUUUAAAAUCCUAGAGUUUGAAAAGUAUAAUGGGACGAGCUACCCUGAAGCUCAUAUUACGAUGUUCUGUCGAAAGAUGACAGGGUAUGUCAACAAUGACCAGCUGUUGAUCCACUAUUUCCGAGACAGUUUGAUUGGAUCCGUGGCCAAGUGGUAUAACCAGCUCAACCGUGCCCAAAUUGGUUCAUGGAAGGACUUGGCUCAAGCUUUCAUGAAACAAUACGGUCACGUGACAGACAUAGCACCUGACAGAAUUACCCUAUAAAACAUGGAAAAGAAGUUGAGUGAGAGCUUCAGGCAGUAUGCACAACGGUGGAGGGAAAUAGCGAUGCAAGUCCAGCCACCCCUCUUGGAGAAGGAAACGACCAUGCUCUUUAUCAGCACUCUAAAGGCCCCAUUCAUUAACCACAUGUUAGGAAGCACUACAAAAAGCUUCUCGGACAUAGUAAUGUCCGGGGAGAUGACAGAAAACGCGAUAAGAUGUGGGAAGAUUGAAGCAGGAGAAAAUGCCAAGAAAUAAAUUUCGAAGAGAAAAGAAAAUGAGGUGAACAACACAAGUGUAUACAAUAAAAGUUAUAACAAGCCUGUCACUGUGAGCCAACCGAGGACGGUGACUACCAGCCAUCAGGGCUCCUAGACAAGAUUCCAACUCAAGGCCUAACACAGAAAGAGUCCAGUUUACGCCUAUCCCGAUGUCCUACAAGGAAUUGUAUCAAAUCUUAUUUGAUGCCCAUGUGGUGUCACCUUUCUACUUGAAGCCUUUACAACCCCCGUUCCUAAAAUGGUACGACACAAAUGCCCAAUGUGAGUACCACGCAGGGAUAACGGAGCAUUCGAUAGAGAAUUGUCUGACGUUCAAAAAGUUAGUGGAAAAACUCAUCGAAAUGGGUGUCAUAAAGUUUGAUGACCCACCAGGUCCCAAUGUGGCAGGAAAUUCGUUACCCGACCAUGCUAAUAAAGGGGUAAACGCGAUAGUUGAAAGUGGGAGCAAAAGAAUCAAGAUGGAUAUAUCAGAGGUAAAAACCCCGCUUAAACGAGUUUGGGAGAAGAUGGUAGAAGGAGGUUUAGUCACACAACAUCCAAAGGAAAGGCCCAAAGAAGCGAGAAGAUACUGCGGGUUUCAUGCUGAUGAAGGCCAUGACAUCCAAGAGUGCAACGAGUUUAGGUCCUUAGUGCAAAAUCUGAUGGACAAUAAGGAGAUGGAAUUUUAUGAAGAAACCAGAGGAUCAGAGGAAGAAAAGGUGUACGCUACAGAGGAGGGAACAACAGAAGGGGUCCAAAGAGUUAACCAUCCUGUAGUAAUCAUUUCGCGACCCAGAAUCAAUGAAGCAAGAGUACAACUAGCGCCGAGAGUCAUAAUCCAAAAACCGAUAUCCUUCCCAUACAAGGAUAGCAAAAAGGUUCCUUGGAAUUACGACUGCAACGUGACAAUCCCCGGGGGGAAAGCCCGGUAAAUGCUUCACAAGAGAACCAAGAUGUAGGUUUCUAUACACAAAGUGGGAGACGUUAUGAUCCUGCGAAUACAAACAAUGAAAUCGUUAAAGAAAAGGCUCCAAUAGUUGAGCAAAGGAAAGAGAAGACGGUUAGGUUCAAAUCGCUAGUCAAUGAGUCGGUAACCGAGAAUGAAGCUAGGGAAUUUCUAAAAUUUUUAAAGCAUAGUGAGUACAGCGUCAUUGAACAGCUACGCAAGAAACCGGCUCGCAUCUCAGUGCUAGCCUUACUGCUAAGUUCAGAAACGCAUCGGAACGCGUUAAUGAAAGUGUUGAAUGAGACUUAUGUCGCAAAUGACAUCUCAGUUAACAAAUUAGAUCGUCUGGUUAAUAAUAUCAGCGCUGAUAAUUUUAUUUUCUUUAACAAUGACGAAAUACCACCGGGAGGUAUGGGGUCCACAAAGGCCCUGCACAUUACCACACGUUGCAAGGGAUUCACAUUGCUGGGGGUAUUGAUUGAUAAUGGAUCGGCACUAAAUGUCCUACCUCUAUCCACAUUAAAUAGGUUGCCCGUGGAUAGUUCCCAUAUGAAAGCAUGCCAAAAUAUGGUGAGGGCAUUCGAUGGUACCGAAAGGAAAGUAAUGGGGAGGAUCGAAAUACCCCUUUUAAUCGGCCCUAGCACGUAUGAGAUAGACUUCUUGGUAAUGGACAUCAGGACCUCUUACAAUUCCUUCUUAGGAAGGCCAUAGAUUCGCUCAACGGGGGCAGUGUCGUCAUCAUUACAUCAAAAGCUCAAAUUUGUAACGGAAUUUCGAUUGGUGACCGUAAAUGCGGAAGAAGAUAUCAUUGCGUCCGUUACCAGCAAUGCACCGUAUGUGGGGACAGAUGAUGAAGCCAUAGAAUGUUCUUUUCGAUCGUUAGAAUUUGUAAAUGUGACCUUUUUUGUCGAAGGAAAUAAGAUCCCGAUGCCCCGAAUCUCUAAAACUACAAGAAUAGGCCUACAACUGACGGUUGGGAAAGGAGCUUUGCCAGGGAAAGGGCUUAGAAGAAGCCUACAAGGGAAGGUCGAAGUACCUAUGCUCAUGGACAAACGAGACAGCUUUAGUUUAUGAUUCAAGCCAGAUGCAAGACAGAAGAAAAAGGAGCAAGAGAAGAAACAAGAAAGGAGAAGAGCACGUUUGAGCGGGGAAGAGGUUAAGUGGGAGCCGAUGACCUUUCCUCACAUAUCCAGAACAUUCGUGUCGGGAGGAAUUAUUCACGCUGAAGGAAGAGUGACAACGAAAGGAUUUUCUGAAGAAAUGUUGGAAGACUUAAGCAUUAACGUGACACAUGAGGAAGGAGCUAGAGUAGAGAAUUUAUCGGGCAUCCGCCCUUAUGAGCCGGAAAGUGUUCUAAAUAAUUGGACUGCGGAAGAGAUUCCUAUAGUCUUUAGAACCAAUACAUAGUAAUGCUCUAAACACACCUAUUACUUCAGGCCUAGGAGUAAUAAGCGUCCUUUUUGUGAAAUAGGCUUGUGUCCAAAAUUGUUAUUUCAAUAAAUGCAUCAUUUUGUCUUAUCUCGUGCAAAUAUUCUUUUAUUCUUUUAUUCAUGAUCAUACUAUACAUGGCAUUGCUCUUAGAUUCUUUUGUUCUUUGUAUCUUCCUUCACACCUACAACAGGUCUCCAGAUAUCAAUGAUAUGAACGACGUUGCUACUAAUUCAGAGUCUCUUUUUGAGCGGGAUAUGUGUUUAGAGGGAUCUCAAGACUUUGAAGAUGACAGAGACUGUAACUUAUCCCCUGACUUGUUAAGGAUGGUAGAACAAGAAGAGAAACAGAUUCUACCUCACAAAGAGUCAGUAGAAGUCGUGAAUUUGGAAGAUGAACAGAAAAGAAAGAAGUAAAGAUCGGAGUUGGCAUUACCACAGAGACAAAGCGGGAGCUUAUUGAGUUACUCUAUGAGUUCAAGGAUGUCUUUGCAUGGUCAUAUCAAGAUAUGCCUGGGCUAAGUACUGAUAUUGUGGUACAUAGGCUCCCCAUUAAAGAAGAAUGCAAGCUAGUUCAAUAGAAGCUCCGAAGGAUGAGGCCAGAUGUUUUGUUGAAAAUAAAAGAGGAGGUCAAGAAGCAAUUCGAUGCUGGUUUCUUACAAGUAGAGAAGUACUCAGAAUGGGUAGCCAAUAUCGUCCCUGUCCCUAAGAAAGAUGGAAAAGUAUGAAUGUGUGUAGACUACAGGGAUCUGAACAAAGCCAGCCCGAAGGAUAAUUUCCCGUUGCCUCAUAUUGACACCUUAGUGGACAAUACGGUAGGUUACUUACUGUUCUCCUUCAUGGAUGGUUUCUCAGGGUACAAUUAGAUCAGGAUGCAUCCCGAAGACAUGAAUAAAACCACAUUUGUAACCAUGUGGGGAACCUUUUGCUAUAAAGUGAUGCCUUUUGGAUUGAAAAAUACGGGAGCAACAUAUCAGAGAGCCAUGGUAACCCUGUUCCAUGAUAUGAUGCACAAAGAGAUUGAAGUCUAUGUUGAUGACAUGAUUGCUAAAUCUCGUACAGAAGAAGAGCAUGUGCUAGUCCUGAGGAAAUUAUUUUUGAGGUUGAGGAAGUUUCAACUGAAACUCAAUCUAGCAAAAUGUACCUUUGGGGCCAGAUCAGGAAAACUGCUAGAAUUCGUAGUCAGUGAAAAAGGGAUUGAGAUUGACCCAGAUAAAGUCAAAGCCAUACAAGAUUUACCACCUCCGUGUACUCAAAAGGAAGUUCGGGGAUUCCUAGGGAGACUAAAUUACAUUGCUCGGUUCAUUUCACAACUAACCGAGAAAUGUGACCCCAUAUUUUGUCUCCUUAAGAAACAUAACACUAGUGUUUGGGAUACGGAGUGCCAGAAGACUUUUGACAAGGUUAAGCAAUAUUUGUCUAAUGCCCCAGUGCUGACACCACCUAGUCCAGAUAAACCACUGAUACUAUAUUUGACAGUAUUUGAAAAUUCUAUGGGAUGUGUGCUUGGCCAACACGAUGAGUCAAGAAGGAAAGAAAGAACGAUAUAUUACCUCAGUAAGAAGUUCACUGAGUGUGAGACGAGGUACUCGCCAAUUGAAAAGUUGUGUUGUGCCUUAAUUUGGACAACUCGAAGACUGAGACAAUAUAUGUUGUAUCACAUAACUUGGCUGAUUUCUAAAUUGGAUCCUCUGAAGUACCUGAUGGGAUCAACUGCUUUAAAUGGAAGGAUGGCCCAGUGGCAAAUUCUGCUUUCCGAAUUUGAUAUCGUCUAUGUAAAUCAGAAAGCUGUAAAAAGAAAUGCAAUAGCAAAUUUUCUAGCCAGUAGAGCUCUAGAAGACUACAAGACCCUCAAGAAGGUCAUCUUUGGAAACUAAACUUCGACGGAGCAUCAAAUGCUGUGGGUAACGAAAUUGGGGCAGUCUUGGUAUCCCCAGAUGGAAAUCAUUAUCCCUUCACUAGUAAAUUAGAUUUUGACUGCACGAACAAUAUGGCGGAAUACGAAGCAUGCAUCAUGGGCAUCCGUACAGCCAUAGAAUGCAAGAUUAAAGCACUAGAAGUAUAUGGAGAUUCUGCGCUAGUGAUUUAUCAACUCAAAGGUGAAUGGGAGACGAGAGAUCCCAAGUUGAUCAAUUAUAGAAAUCUAGUCCUUAAAUUGAUUCAAGAAUUUGAUGAUAUCGUCUUUUGCUAUCUCCUCCGAGAAGAAAAUUAGAUGGCCGACACCCUAGCAACUUUAGCCUCUAUGAUCAAUGUGAACAAACAAUAAGAUGUGAAACCAAUCCAAAUGAGUAUUUACGAGGCUCCAGCUCAUUGUUACAACCUCGAAGAAGAAGUAAAAAAUGAUGAUUAUCCUUGGUACCACGAUAUCCUGCGGUAUGUGAAGAAUCGUGAGUACCCUAACCAAGCUACUGAAAACGAUAAAAGAACGUUGAGAAGACUGGCCAGUGACUAUGUCUUGGACGAGGAGAUCCUAUACAAAAGAAGGAAGGAUCAACUACUAUUAAGAUGUGUAGAUGCUACUGAGGCGAGGAAAAUCUUGGAAGAAGUUCAUGAAGGCGUCUGUGGGACACACGCUAACGGCUUUACAAUGGCUAGGCAAAUUAUGAGAUUUGGUUAUUAUUGGUCCACCAUGGAAGGAGUCUGUAUUAACUAUGCCAAAAGAUGUCAUAAGUGCCAAAUCUAUGGAGACAAGAUUAAUGUGCCUCCUUCACCUUUGCAUGUUAUGACUUCUCCAUGGCCUUUUUCGAUGUGGGGCAUAGAUGUGAUAGGGCCAAUUUCGCCGAAAACUUUAAACGAGCAUCGAUUCAUCUUUGUGGUUAUCGAUUAUUUCACCAAGUGGGUGGAGGCCGCUUCGUAUGCUAAUGUUACAAAAUCAACAGUUAGCAAGUUCCUAAAGAGAGAGAUUAUCUGUCGAUAUGGAAUGCCAGAAAAGAUCAUAUCUGACAAUGCAUUGAAUUUGAACAACAGUACAAUAGCAGAGGUCUGCAGUCAUUUCAAGAUCAAACACCACAACUCGUCGCCGUAUCGCCCAAAAAAUGAAUGUUGCAGUCGAAGCAGCCAAUAAGAACAUCAAGAAGAUUGUGGGAAAGAUGACUGAAACUUACAAAGAUUGGCAUGAGAAACUACCAUUUGCUCUCUAUGCUUAUCGAACAUCCAUCAGGACAUCUACUGGGGCAACUCUUUUCUCAUUGGUCUAUGGAAUGGAGGCGGUUUUACCCAUCGAGGUUGAGAUUCCUUCCCUCAGAGUUUUGGCAGAAGUAAAAUUGGAUGAGGCAGAAUGGAUCCAGUCCCGAUACGAUCAGUUGAAUUUGAUCAAAGAAAAGAGGCUGAAGGUAAUCUGCAUGGUCAAAUGUACCAAAAACGGAUGAUGCGAGCCUACAACAAAAAGGUUCGUCCCAGAGAAUUCCACGAAGGAGACCUAGUAUUAAAAAAUAUUUUGCUUAUACAAAAGGACUUCAGAGGAAAAUGGAUGCCAAAUUGGGAAGGACCUUAUGUGGUGAAGAAAGCUUUUUCCGGAGGAGCAUUGAUAUUGACUGAAAUGGAUGGCAAGACUUUGCCCAAUCCUGUGAAUUUAGAUUCAGUCAAGAAAUACUUCGCCUAAAAAUAAAAAUAAAAAUAAAAAAAGGGAGAGGCUAAGGUGAAAACUCACAAAGAGCACCUUGAGACCAAAGGGAUUUUGAAUUGAAAACCCGUAAAGGGCGAUUCGAACUUGGAUCAAAGGUUGAGCCUGCGGUACUCUGCUAAUAUCUGAAUUAGCAAAGAGGAGAGAUGUUACACCUUGGGGCAUCGAUAAGAGUACUCUAGAUCCCUUAAACACAUAUUAGGCUUAAAAAGGGUCUUCCAGAAGUUCAUAUAGGGGAGUUCAUGCUGCGAUAUUUGGGGCAUCUAUUUUCCUUUUGAUUAUUUUGUCUUCCAGCAAUGUCAUGUUUUGUGAUUAAUCUAUUCCUCUCCAAAUUUUGUUUCUAAUAAAUUUCCAUUUUAUCCAUUAUCACGAUCUUUCUCAAGCAUUUUUGCAUUGAAAUAAUGACUAAUGGACUAAUGACACUUUUGUAAAAGGAGUUCUGUAUAUUACUCUGAAAGUUCUAAAUAGUACAGGAACCUGAAACAGGGCUAUUAUUUGGAACUAACUAAACGUAAAGAUUGGAAACACUUGAGAAGAAAGAGUUUAAAUUGGGACUUCCUCUUCGGGUUUUCUGAUCAAAGAACUAAGCAGAAUAAGAAGACUGGGUAUCGAUUCAGUGAAAGAACCUUGAUGAAUAGAGAGCAAUGACAACCUAAACAUUAAAAAAUGGAUCAUUCUCAUAACAUACCGCACUCAUGCAUUUAUAGAUCAUUCAUGACAUACCUAGUUAAGGGCAUUCUGAUUCAUUUCGAUCAUAGCAUCCUAAUCAUUUGGCAUAAGCAUAGGUAUUUGAAAUAGAUUCUACAGAUCAUACCCCUAGAGGAUGGUGUAGCAACGUUUGAAAAUUACAGAUCUUGUCCCUCUAAGCAAUAGUGGAACAGAUCGAAGACGGUGAGUCUCGUCCCCCUAAGUAGUAGGGUAACAGGCUUAAUUACAAAUCACUUUUCCCUGAAAUGGCGUUGGAGCGGCUAAAAGCCAUAGCAGAUCUCCUUGAAAUUUCAGUGAAUUUCUUUUCCCUGAAAUGGCGUUGGAGCAGCUAAAAGCCACAGCAGAUCUCCUUGAAGUUUCAGUGGAUUUCUUUUCCCUGAAAUGGCGUUGGAGCGGCUAAAAGCCAUAGCAGAUCUCCUUGAAGUUUCAGUGGAUUUCUUCUUCCUGAAAUGGCAUGGGAGCGGCUAAAAGCCACAGCAGAUCUCCUUGAAGUUUCAGCGAAUCUCUUCUUCCUGAAAGGGUAUGGGAGCGGCUAAAAGCCACAACAGAUCUCCUUGAAGUUUCAGCGGAUCUCUUCUUCCUGAAAUGGCAUUGGAGCGGUUAAAAGCCACAGCAAAUCUCCUUGAAGUUUCAGCGAACCUCUUCUUCCUGAAAUGGCAUGGGAGCGGCUAAAAGUCACAACAGAUCUCCUUGAAGUUUCAGCGGAUCUCUUUUCCCUGAAAUGGCAUUAGAGCGGUUAAAAGCCACAACAGAUCUCCUUGAAGUUUCAGCAAACCUCUUCUUCCUGAAAUGGCGUUGGAGCGGCUAAAAGCCACAGUAGAUCUCCUUGAAGUUUCAGCGAACCUCUUCUUCCUGAAAUGGCGUUGGAGCGGCUAAAAGCCACAGUAGAUCUCCUUGAAGUUUCAGCGGAAGAAGAUCAGAACAAACCUUAUCUCUCGAAAGUUGCAGCGGAGCGCAUUGAAGAUACUUGAAGAAAAGAAGCGUCAAGAGAAGUUGAGGCUUGGCAGGUCCCAGUAAAUUUGGCCCUUUCUAUUGUCUUUGCCCUAUUCUCGUUGCACGACAAUGAGCAAAGAGGGGCAGCUAUAGGUACCCAAAUUAACCCAGGCCCAUCAAUACCCCAACCUACCCUAGCCCAAAACACCAGUAGAAAAAAAACAAAGAAGCAGCAAACCCUAGGUGCCUCCACUUACAGCAUUUUUCUUCCACCUGCUCCCAUUACCUCCUUGAAGACCAGCAAGUAGUAACAAAAAAAAACAGCAAUAGGACUUUGCAUAAUUGGCUAUAAAGAGCCAUUCAUUUUCAAUGUAAAAUAGAGGGGAUUUUUUUUUAUCUUUUCUUCUUUUGAUUGUUGUUUUGUUUUUAGAAAAGAGAGGAAAAUAUUGUUAGAUCCGAAUAUUGAAAAUCAACGAAGAAAAACAACAAAAGAUAAAAAGGUUGAUUUUAAUCUCCUUUCUCCUAUUCAUGUAGUUCAUUCCUUUAAUUUAUCUCAUUAUUUUCGUUAUAAACCAUUUUCAAAUAAAGGCAUAAAAGAAAGAACUCAUCUGGAUCGUCGUGGUCUU
rnacentral:lncRNA from 1 species